UCAGACCAAUGGCUGUCCAGAAUAUUGGGGUGCAUCCCAAGGUCUCCUCACCUCCGAGAAGAAAACCUUCCCGAUGGUCUUCUCUCUUAGAUCGGGACGGGGCAGGACCAGGAAGAAAAUGGCUUCGAACAAACCAUCAGGAGUCACCCUCAUGUCCCAGCAUCUAACCUUCUCCAACUGACUGAACUCCUCCUGAUAGCCGGCACAUAAUAUUAAAUUUUUGAUGGCUUGCA